UACGGAGGGGGCUAGCGUUAUUCGGAAUUAUUGGGCGUAAAGGGCGCGUAGGCGGCCCGGUAAGUCAAAGGUGAAAUCCCUCGGCUCAACUGAGGAACUGCCUUUGAAACUGUCGGGCUUGAGGCCGGGAGGGGGUAGCGGAAUUCCCAGUGUAGCGGUGAAAUGCGUAGAUAUUGGGAGGAACACCGGUGGCGAAGGCGGCUACCUGGACCGGUUCUGACGCUGAUGCGCGAAAGCGUGGGGAGCGAACAGG
rnacentral:rRNA from 1 species